rnacentral:lncRNA from 1 species
UGAAAUCCAGCCUGAGCUUUUAUCUGCUCUCUCCUCUCAAGUAAACCUGAAAGAGGAUGAAAACCAUGUAGGGUGAGAAAUAAUUCUUUAUCAUAGUUAUUUUAGGAUAGAUUUUGAUAAACAGAAGUCCAAGGACAAGUUUUCAGAGGUCUUGAUGUUCCCUACAAGACUUUAAAAAAAUUGUAAUGUCAUUGAUUAUCACUGAAUAAUUUAAAAUAGCAUAUUCUGAACUAUCGUCAAAAUUGCUUUAUUUCCAAAUCUUUUCUCACAAUUUCAGUGUCCAAGUUUGCAAUUAUAUUUACAAAUGAGUUGUCACCAGUCAGACAGGGCUACUUUAACUGUCCCAGGCUAAUGAGAAAAAAACAAAGGCAGAUUUAGUAGGCACAGGAUGAUCUCCUGCCGAGUGAACUCUAAAUGACAUCACUCUGAACUGCGGGAUGAAGGCUCUGAAGCAAUCCAAAAAGUGGUAAAAAAAAAAUGAGCUUCAGUCCAACAGAUUGGAAAAGGCACACACAAAUUAAAGGAAUAGUCCACAUCACAGCCCUAGUGCAAGCAGCAAUCUAGUUUCAGCACAAUUAAUAACUCUUGACAAUUUAAAUUAUUUUUGCUUUGGUAAUUUGUUUGGUUUUAGCUUGUUAAUUUGUUUUGACUUCAAAGUAGUAUGAAUUAAAAACAUAACGACUUUAGAUCUAGUUUUGUGUGGAUGCAUAUUCAAACAAUAUGAGGAUAAAUAAUUUAAUUCCAUAUUGCAGGGUGUGUGAAAACAUUUAUCUUUAAAAGGAUCCAUGGACACUGGAUUUUGAUUCAGACCAGCAUGGAAGUUUAGCUGUCAUGGUGCUGGGAUUCACAGCUGGAAUGUUCCCACAGCCCUGCCCCUGCAUUUAGGAUCCAGGGAAGCAACCCCAAGACAGACCUCCUGCAACUCAGCUCAAGUUAACCUAGAGGUAUAUAUAUCCCAUUGUCUGCUCCUGGUAACACAUCUCCCUGAUUCUGAACCUCUAGUUCAGGAAAAGGGGCCCUAAACUGAUCUUGUUCUCUGGAGAUUGGCUUGCUUUCUCUGAAUUUAUCCUCUUGGGUCCUCUGGGUGUCAGUCACCUGCUCUCCUCUAUCUCUGCCCACUCAGCUGCCAGGUGAUGCCAUUGCUUAUGAAGGAGGUGGCAGACACGGAGACUGAGAUUCUGGGCUGAGCAGACAUGUGGUGACUUGUUCAAGGGAGAAAACAGGUAUGCAGCUUUCUACGUGUCUGGAUCUGGCCAAGUUAUUUAUUCACCAUCUCUGGCUCUGAGUUUUCAUCUGUAAAAUGAGCUUAAAAAUAAUUUAUAAACCAGUUAUGAGGAGCAAAUGAGUUAAUUUGUAUAAAGCAUUUGGAAUAAUGUCUGACUCACAGUAUCCAUGCAAAAAUACGGGCUAUAUAUAUAUAUAUUUUUUUAGUU